rnacentral:rRNA from 1 species
AUUGAACGCUGGCGGCAUGCCUUACACAUGCAAGUCGAACGGCAGCACGGGAGCAAUCCUGGUGGCGAGUGGCGAACGGGUGAGUAAUGUAUCGGAACGUGCCCAUUCGUGGGGGAUAACGUAGCGAAAGCUACGCUAAUACCGCAUACGAUCUAUGGAUGAAAGCGGGGGAUCGCAAGACCUCGCGCGAUUGGAGCGGCCGAUAUCAGAUUAGGUAGUUGGUGGGGUAAAGGCUCACCAAGCCGACGAUCUGUAGCUGGACUGAGAGGACGACCAGCCACACUGGGACUGGGACACGGACAAGACUCCUACGGGAGGCAGAAGUGGGGAAUUUUGGACAAUGGGUGCAAGCCUGAUCCAGCAAUGCCGCGUGCAGGAUGAAGGCCUUCGGGUUGUAAACUGCUUUGUACGGAACGAAACGGCGAGCUCUAAUACAGUUUGCUAAUGACGGUACCGUAAGAAUAAGCACCGGCUAACUACGUGCCAGCAGCCGCCGUAA